CCUACGGGAGGCAGCAGUGAGGAAUAUUGGUCAAUGGGAGAGAUCCUGAACCAGCCAAGCCGCGUGAGGGAAGACGGCCCUAUGGGUUGUAAACCUCUUUUGUCGGAGAACAAAACCCGGGACGAGUCCCGGACUGCGUGUAUCCGAAGAAAAAGCAUCGGCUAACUCCGUGCCAGCAGCCGCGGUAAUACGGAGGAUGCGAGGGUUAUCCGGAUUUAUUGGGUUUAAAGGGUGCGUAGGCGGUCUGUUAAGUCAGCGGUAAAAUGGCGGGGCUCAACCCCGUCGAGCCGUUGAAACUGGCAGACUUGAGUUGGCGAGAAGUACGCGGAAUGCGCGGGGUAGCGGUGAAAUGCAUAGAUAUCGCGCAGAACUCCGAUUGCGAAGGCAGCGUACCGGCGCCAGACUGACGCUGAGGCACGAAAGCGUGGGGAUCGAACAGGAUUAGAUACCCUGGUAGUC
rnacentral:rRNA from 1 species